AGCAGGUGGGGUCUGUGCUUACAUACUUGAAACCCAAGCUGUGUAAGGAGGUCUAUGCCCUGUGCGCUGGGAGUCCAGGAGGAGCCCCAACUCUGGGAGACACGUUUGGGCUGAGGCUUGAAGGAUGAAGUGAGACGAGUCCGUUUUCUGACGGUGGAGCAUAACUCCCACUCCCUGAGGGUGGGCUGUGCCUAGUGACCUGCGAAGAGGACAGGAUGGACGGGGCAGCUACAGUGAGAAGCCUGACAACCACCCCUCAGCCAGGUGACCAAGGUCAACACCACAGGGAUCCGUCCUGGUGACAGCACCUGCCCUGCUGGGAUGGGACGAGAAGGGCUCCUCCCCUCGGUGGUCCUCCUCCCAGACCCAUGGUCCCAGUCUAGUCAUGAGAGAAACAGCAGACAGAUCCCAGCUGAGGGGCUUCCUACAAGACACCUGCUCGGUCCUCCUGGAAACGGUUAAGGUCAUUGAAACAAGGGGGUCUGAGAAACUGUCCCUGCCCAGAGGAGCUAAGACGACACGACGACCAAAUGUACUGUGGGCUCCUGGACGGGGCCCUGAGACAGAGAACGGACAUUAGGUACAAACCAAGGAGACCAAAACAUGGAUUUUAGUUAACAAUAAUGUAUCAAUACGGGCUCAUUAAUUGUAACAAAUGUACCAUGCCAAUGUAAAAAAUUAAUAAUAGAGAAGCUGGGGGCCGGCUAUAUGGGAACUCUGUACUAUCUUCAGUUUUUCUGUAAAUCUCAAACUGUUCUAAGAAAUAAAGUUUAUUUAAAAAAAAUAGUCCUGCAAAAUAAAAGGAGUUGAGGGAGGAGAGAGAGGAAAGAAGACUGGCGGAGAGGCGACAAUUGUUGAAGGUGGGUGAUGG
rnacentral:lncRNA from 1 species